GCGGACGUGGCGGAACCGGCAGACGCGACGGACUUAGGAUCCGUUGGGGCGACCCGUGGGGGUUCGACUCCCCCCGUCCGCACCA
rnacentral:tRNA from 1 species